ACAAACCAUUCCUCCUGAGACCUCCUUCCAUUGUCUUCCUGAGGAUUCUUGUCACCUCUCACUUGUGCCAGAUCUGUUUCCAGUGUCGACUACUGAGAAAGUAUGCGCAGCAGUCACGGGAAGAAAAGAAGUUUAACAUUUCAAAAGAGAAUGAGUAUUCAAUGAAGCACAUAUCUGGUGGAGAGGAAUCAGAAGACCUUUGAAUUUCAGAUUCCAUCACCAAGUCUUCAGAAUCUUCAAGCAAGUUUCUGAUAAAAAUCCUGGGCAAUGAAAAACCAAGACAAGGUCUUGGUACAAUCUAGUUUCUGAGCUGCAAGACAACAGACCAGAUUCUGCGGGACAGUGCAGGCCUGGAGUAGCGAUCAGCUUUGACUUCAGGCUGCAGUAAAGUCUUAGGAGAUCUCUAUCGGUUGCGUGACUCUCAUUUCCGAGGCUUUAUGACACAGAAAAAGAACGGUGCUGGACUGCAAAUGAGAAGCUGGAGCUGCUAAGUACAUGGACACCUAGCAAGUACCAGGCUCAUGCUUCUCAGUUCAUGGCUUCCAAUCAGAGAUGCCAGAAAACGUAUCGUUGCCGUAUUUAAGUGUG